AAGAGGUCACCUUGUAUGACUGUUCCUCGACGUGGGGAGGAUGCACCCCAGUGAUAAGAGGGUGCACACACCUCCACCCCACACCUCCAACUCACUGACGGCUGGCAGAGCUGGAAAUCCACUUCCAUAUGUAAGCACUUAAACUCUCAAGUGGCCACCAAGUGCUUCAGAAAGCUGAACAACACGUCUAGUUUGGAAGAAAGAACUUCAGGAGAGUAUUUCAAUUUUCGAGUGUAUGUGUGCGUGUUUAGGUUCUAUCUCUCUGAAGAAAACAGCUUAGGAACCACCCUGAGAAGACAGCCAUCAGUCAUCUUCCCAAUCAGUUCCUUCCAGAUGCAUGACCUUGCUGUCCAGACCCGAUGUGUGGACUCAGAGGUGUGUGUGGAUGAAAGAGCUCUGGGCUGUCACAGGCCUUCAGGAAGGGAGCACUGAGCUGGUGCAACUCCCUUCCACAGGCUCUGGUGCUCCUGUGAGCUGAAGCAGAGAGUGUUCCUUUCACCCCUGUGUGCUCACCUGACUAAGAGCAGCAAACCAGGCAGGGAGACUGCCUCUGCCCAGGGCAGCUCCUGCUUGCACAGGCUGCAGUCACUAAAUGUGAUCUGAGUACAUCCUCAAGCAUAGAGACCUCCCUCCAAUGCAUCUAGUUCAAAAUGAGUUGUCUUUAACACCUAGAUAAGUUGUUUUAUUAUAAACUAUUUGUUUAUUAUGCUUUUUAA